UACAGAGGUCUCAAGCGUUGUUCGGAUUCAUUGGGCGUAAAGGGUGCGUAGGCGGCGGGGUAAGUCAGGUGUGAAACCGUCGGGGCUCAACUCCGAAACUGCACUUGAUACUGCCUUGCUAGAGUAUUGGAGAGGAGAUUGGAAUUUACGGUGUAGCAGUGAAAUGCGUAGAUAUCGUAAGGAAGACCAGUGGCGAAGGCGAAUCUCUGGACAAUUACUGACGCUGAGGCACGAAGGCCAGGGGAGCAAACGGG
rnacentral:rRNA from 1 species